rnacentral:lncRNA from 1 species
UUUAUGCCCAAAUUGUCGUCGUUGUUUCUUGCACAUAUUCAUUGUGUUGUCGUUGUGUGCCUAGAUUUGUCGUUUGGUGCCCAAAUCAUGCCCAAAUAUGUUGUGCUCGUGACCAGAUCUAUUGUGUUUGUGCUUGAUUUGUUGUUUUUGUGCCUAAAUUUGUGGUGGAUCCGCUCUACUCAGAUCGUUGCGUUCAUGCAAG